GGUGGCAAUGAAGGACUGCAAAAAUUUGAUCUCUCUGGUUUGCUGGUACAGAGAAUCUGAUACGUUCAGACGAAUUAAGCUGGAAAACAAAGGCAAACAUGGAAUUUAAAUACGAACGCAUAAAUGUUGACAAAGAAUUCUUCAAAACACGCUCACAAAUCGGACUCAAUAACCAAGCAUAUUUCAUGCACAUAUGCAGGAAAUAUAAAAAUUAUCUAACAACACUUCCAACUAAUGGAUUACAACCUCCUCCAAAUUAUUUAUAUAAACAAAUUUCGUCAUCAACAAUAACAUCCAUACACCUUAUUUACCAGACCGAAAAUUUCAACCCGAAGUAGGCUGUAAUUAUUAGAACUGCCAAAAAAAUAACAAACAAAAAAAAAAAAAAUGGAAUAUCAAACCAACUAGAAUUGUAUAAUGGAUCAUUCACGCCCGCAUCCGCCUGUUUAGAAAAAAAAAGGAUUUUCUUUACUAAAUCUGCUGGGGCUGCAUUUUCUUUUGUUAAAAAAAAAAUGAGGAAUAUGGAGUAAUCUAAAAAGGCAAUUUCUUCUUGGUUUGGGCUUUCAAGGCCAUAUUAGUUGCAUGGGAAAUCACAUUCGCACAUUUGUUUCCAAACGUCAUUGAGUUCCUGUUAGAUGCUCAGAUAUUCGAUGUGAUUUUUUGCAAUUGCAAAUGGGCGAGUAUACGACAAUAGUGUUGUGAUAUAUUGUGAUUGGAUGGAAGGUUAAUAACUGUUCGAGUAUUUGUUGCAUCCUCUGUAUGAGAAGGUACUCAAUAUUGAGCCCAUUUUCUUUGCAUUAAGAAUUGGCGAGCGGUUUAUGAAAGAACAUAAAGCAAGAAAUAUUAUUUGGCUGUCGUGACAAAGUUUUUGUGUCCCCAUCUUUAAGAGUAUACAAAAAACUCUCCAUCUGUUCUCAUCGGUGACGGAGGAAUCAACACUUGCACCAGGUCGUGUAUAUUAAUAUGCUUGUAAGACAAAUGGAGCUUGAACGCUUGUCUUUUGAACUCCAGUUCGCCUGCCAUUUAGUAGAUGGCGCAAACCCACGUAUCUGAGAAAAAACACUUCAAAUUUAUGAUUUUGGUUGCAUUCAUACGUUAUUUUUAUUGUAAGAUGCGUUUUAAUAAAAUAAUUUUUCU